AGUUUGAUCCUGGCUCAGGAUGAACGCUGGCGGCGUGCCUAAUACAUGCAAGUCGAACGAAUCUCUUCGGAGAUGAGUGGCGAACGGGUGAGUAAUACAUAGGUAACCUGCCCCUGUGCGGGGGAUAACAGGAGGAAACUCCUGCUAAUACCGCAUAGCCAUGAGCACCGCAUGGAGCUCAUGCCAAAUAUCCUUUCGGGGAUAGCGCAGGGAUGGACCUAUGGCGCAUUAGCUUGUUGGCGGGGCAACGGCCCACCAAGGCAACGAUGCGUAGCCGGCCUGAGAGGGCGGACGGCCACAUUGGGACUGAGACACGGCCCAGACUCCUACGGGAGGCAGCAGUAGGGAAUUUUCGGCAAUGGGGGAAACCCUGACCGAGCAACGCCGCGUGAGCGAAGAAGGCCUUCGGGUCGUAAAGCUCUGUUGUAAAGGAAGAACGGCGCAUACAGGAAAUGGUAUGCGAGUGACGGUACUUUACCAGAAAGCCACGGCUAACUACGUGCCAGCAGCCGCGGUAAUACGUAGGUGGCGAGCGUUAUCCGGAAUCAUUGGGCGUAAAGAGGGAGCAGGCGGCCGCAAGGGUCUGUGGUGAAAGACCGAAGCUAAACUUCGGUAAGCCAUGGAAACCGGGCGGCUAGAGUGCGGAAGAGGAUCGUGGAAUUCCAUGUGUAGCGGUGAAAUGCGUAGAUAUAUGGAGGAACACCAGUGGCGAAGGCGACGGUCUGGGCCGCAACUGACGCUCAUUCCCGAAAGCGUGGGGAGCAAAUAGGAUUAGAUACCCUAGUAGUCCACGCCGUAAACGAUGGUCACUAAGUGUCGGGGGUCAAACCCCGGUGCUGCAGUCAACGCAAUAAGUGACCCGCCUGAGUAGUACGUUCGCAAGAAUGAAACUCAAAGGAAUUGACGGA
rnacentral:rRNA from 1 species